rnacentral:lncRNA from 1 species
UCAACCCUUUGUGUUCAGUGACCACUCAGACAUUGCUCUUCCUUAAAAACCACCGAAACGUGUAUUUGGCAGACCUCCCUGACCUCGAUUUCUCUGCUGGCAGAAUCACAAGAAAGGCAUUAGCGCUUUCUGUGAAAUGGGGAGCCAGGCAAAGGAAAUGCCCGGGUUGGGUGGCAGGGGCCUAAAGAAACAACGGAUAUACGAGAUUUUAAUCACCAAGAUGGGGUUCUGUGCCAGACACUGGGGAGGUAAGACUCAGAUCUCUGUUACACCGGUGGGGGGAGGUGCAAUGUUGAUUGAGUGGUGAGAAAUGAAAGCUCUUUGGUCUGCACAGAAAGUCUCCCUUACACUUCAUAGGUUUCCUGGUAGCAAAGAGUCACUGUGAGCUGUGGUCCCUUCCCCACCUGGCCCCAGAACCUGACAUCACGAAGAGUGGCAGGGCCUUCAGGGUAAAGGUGAUUCAACCUGUCACUAAAUCCAAGGACAAAUCCCACAUCUCCUGGCUGUGCUCUGAUGCCCUCGACUAUCGCAGACAGCAGCACAGAGCCUGCAGCACCCCUUGGCAGGCAUCACUGGGAAACAUUCAUUACCAGCCUUCUUUGCACCCCCCUCCCCCUAGCUUCAUCGCUGUGCAUCUCAGACAAACGGCUAAGUGCACAGCUGGCCUCUGCCCUCCUGGCCUUCCUCCUUCAUUUGCUUUUACAACAGUUACAAAGGCCUGAGCUAUAAAAAGGUUUCUAAUCCAUUCUAGCCAGGAGAGUGCCCAGAUUGAGAAAGGCAGAGAGUAGGCAAAAGAGGAAUAGAACCAACUAGUCUUUAAAGUCCUAAAUGGGGACGCUGAUGUAGCAAGAGCCUCUGACAAAGUCUUUCCCAAUAAGGGAAAAAGGGAAAUGGUUGAAAGCACAGGCUCAG